UUUUUUCUAACAGACAAAAAACAAUAGCAUGCAUGCAAAAAGUUCUCACACUUAUGCAAACUACAAUGAUAAAGGGACAUCUCUGCUUUAUUACUAUAUCUUGGUAUAACACACUAUUUUGGGGGGGGAUGAAAAAGUUGAAUAAUCCUAUAUGUUCUUAAGAGAAAAAAAGCAUUGCCAGGUGUCAAAUGGCCAAGAAAGUCCUUGGAUUGCCUGAAGCAGGAUUGCCCAGUGGUCUCUCAACACAUUCCAUCACUCAGUUCUUCCCAUUGUUUGUGAAUAGAUGGGUAUAAUAUUCUUUUCCAGUAUAACAAACCUUUGAAUUUGGUCAUACCCAAAGGAAAGAGAGAGGCUGAUGUCUUGAUGGUUGGGCCAAUAAGUAAUGACAUCCCUGCAUGACGACUAUUGCCCCAGGAGCAUGGAAACCACCAGUCACAAGUCGGUGAGGUCAAGAUGACUGACAGUCUAAGGUAAAUUCCAAUUCAUCACAGCCCAUCAGGUUCCAGAAUAAUAUACCUGGCUCUUUAAAGUGUAAGGUGCACUGUUCAGCAUGGAAUCUGUGGAGACCUUAAUUAUCCUGCUAAUGACAUCUGCUUAGUAUUCGGGAAGCUGAUGAAGGUUUGAAGUAUGAGGGGAGAAAAGCCAAUUUUGUAGCAAGGAACAGCACCUACAAAAUUCAUGCUUCGAAAGGAGAGCAGCUGGGACAAGUUUCACAAGCAGCAUGAGUUACAAUGGUCUUCUGCAGGGAAACGGUUUUGGCAAAAGGAAUAAUUUGCAAAACAAAAACAGCAAAAGUUUCAGUCACUGCAGAGAUAUGUCAUAAGAUUCAAUGCUUAGAAACAGUACAUUUUGUAAGCUUGUUGGGAGGGAGGGAGGGAGGGGGAGAGACAUAACAAACAGUCCUCUAAGAUCCUCUUUUUUGGAUGGUAAAUAUAAUGCCUAUGUUUAUAAAUCGAAGGAUACUAAAAAGAUAAUUGGUUUCUAAAAAUUUAA